AAUUGCAUAAAUGAAGUUGAGUCUCGUAAAAAAAACCUUCAAACUUGAUUUCCAAAAAUUUUCAUUUUUACACACUCAGGUUUCUGGCAUACGGGCGACGAUAUAUAUCUUCAUUUAAAGUACAAAACCGCAUCAAAAUUAAU